GCCGGGAGGAAUAAAUAAACCCAAACCAGGGAUUGCCCCAGUAACGGCGAGUGAAGCGGCAACAGCUCAAAAUUUGAAAUCUGGCGCAAGCCCGAGUUGUAAUUUGCAGAGGAUGCUUUUGGUGCGGUGCCUUCUGAGUUCCCUGGAACGGGACGCCGGAGAGGGUGAGAGCCCCGUACAGUUGGACACCAAGCCUUUGUAAAGCUCCUUCGACGAGUCGAGUAGUUUGGGAAUGCUGCUCAAAAUGGGAGGUAAAUGCCUUCUAAAGCUAAAUACCGGCCAGAGACCGAUAGCGCACAAGUAGAGUGAUCGAAAGAUGAAAAGCACUUUGAAAAGAGGGUUAAAAAGUACGUGAAAUUGUUGAAAGGGAAGCGCUCGUGACCAGACUUGCGCCCGGCGGAUCAUCCGGCCUUCUGGCCGGUGCACUCCGCCGGGCUCAGGCCAGCAUCGGUUCUUCCGGGGGGACAAAAGCGGUGGGAACGUAGCUCCUCCGGGAGUGUUAUAGCCCGCCGCAGAAUACCCCCGGGGGGACCGAGGACCGCGCUUCGGCAAGGAUGCUGGCGUAAUGGUCACCAGCGACCCGUCUUGAAACACGGACCAAGGAGUCAAGCAUUAGGGCGAGUGUUUGGGUGUCAAACCCGCACGCGAAAUGAAAGUGAACGCAGGUGAGAGCUUCGGCGCAUCAUCGACCGAUCCUGAUGUUUUCGGAUGGAUUUGAGUAAGAGCCUUGCCGCUUGGACCCGAAAAGAUGGUGAACUAUGCUUGGAUAGGGUGAAGCCAGAGGAAACUCUGGUGGAGGCUCGCAGCGGGUUCUGACGUGCAAAUCGAUCGGUCAAAUCUGAGCAUGGGGCGAAAGACUAAU
rnacentral:rRNA from 1 species